rnacentral:rRNA from 1 species
ACGACCAUACCUACCGGAAAAUACGGGAUCCCGUCCGCUCUCCCAUAGUCAAGCUGGUAAGGGGCGGAUUAGUAGUUGGGUCGGUGACGACCAGCGAAUCCCCGCUGUUGUAUGUU